rnacentral:rRNA from 1 species
AAAUUGAAGAGUUUGAUCAUGGCUCAGAUUGAACGCUGGCGGCAGGCCUAACACAUGCAAGUCGAACGGUAACAGGAAGCAGCUUGCUGCUUUGCUGACGAGUGGCGGACGGGUGAGUAAUGUCUGGGAAACUGCCUGAUGGAGGGGGAUAACUACUGGAAACGGUGGCUAAUACCGCAUAACGUCGCAAGACCAAAGAGGGGGACCUUCGGGCCUCUUGCCAUCAGAUGUGCCCAGAUGGGAUUAGCUUGUUGGUGAGGUAACGGCUCACCAAGGCGACGAUCCCUAGCUGGUCUGAGAGGAUGACCAGCCACACUGGAACUGAGACACGGUCCAGACUCCUACGGGAGGCAGCAGUGGGGAAUAUUGCACAAUGGGCGCAAGCCUGAUGCAGCCAUGCCGCGUGUAUGAAGAAGGCCUUCGGGUUGUAAAGUACUUUCAGCGGGGAGGAAGGUGUUGUGGUUAAUAACCGCAGCAAUUGACGUUACCCGCAGAAGAAGCACCGGCUAACUCCGUGCCAGCAGCCGCGGUAAUACGGAGGGUGCAAGCGUUAAUCGGAAUUACUGGGCGUAAAGCGCACGCAGGCGGUCUGUCAAGUCGGAUGUGAAAUCCCCGGGCUCAACCUGGGAACUGCAUUCGAAACUGGCAGGCUUGAGUCUUGUAGAGGGGGGUAGAAUUCCAGGUGUAGCGGUGAAAUGCGUAGAGAUCUGGAGGAAUACCGGUGGCGAAGGCGGCCCCCUGGACAAAGACUGACGCUCAGGUGCGAAAGCGUGGGGAGCAAACAGGAUUAGAUACCCUGGUAGUCCACGCCGUAAACGAUGUCUACUUGGAGGUUGUGCCCUUGAGGCGUGGCUUCCGGAGCUAACGCGUUAAGUAGACCGCCUGGGGAGUACGGCCGCAAGGUUAAAACUCAAAUGAAUUGACGGGGGCCCGCACAAGCGGUGGAGCAUGUGGUUUAAUUCGAUGCAACGCGAAGAACCUUACCUGGUCUUGACAUCCACGGAAGUUUUCAGAGAUGGAUUGUGCCUUCGGGAACCGUGAGACAGGUGCUGCAUGGCUGUCGUCAGCUCGUGUUGUGAAAUGUUGGGUUAAGUCCCGCAACGAGCGCAACCCUUAUCCUUUGUUGCCAGCGGUCCGGCCGGGAACUCAAAGGAGACUGCCAGUGAUAAACUGGAGGAAGGUGGGGAUGACGUCAAGUCAUCAUGGCCCUUACGACCAGGGCUACACACGUGCUACAAUGGCGCAUACAAAGAGAAGCGACCUCGCGAGAGCAAGCGGACCUCAUAAAGUGCGUCGUAGUCCGGAUUGGAGUCUGCAACUCGACUCCAUGAAGUCGGAAUCGCUAGUAAUCGUGGAUCAGAAUGCCACGGUGAAUACGUUCCCGGGCCUUGUACACACCGCCCGUCACACCAUGGGAGUGGGUUGCAAAAGAAGUAGGUAGCUUAACCUUCGGGAGGGCGCUUACCACUUUGUGAUUCAUGACUGGGGUGAAGUCGUAACAAGGUAACCGUAGGGGAACCUGCGGUUGGAUCACCUCCUUACCUUAAAGAAGC